UCUCUCUCUAUCUCCUGUCUCGCAGCAGCCUUCACUCUUUCUCACUCACUCUCUCGUUCUUUCAUCUCUCUGUCUCUAGCAAUCGGUGAUCGGCCAGCGAGACAACUGGUGGUGAUCGAAUCUGGUUGGCCUUCGCAACACAUUCGGUUGAUCCAAUUAAUUCCAGAUUGAGAUCGUACGACCUCGCUCUCAAAUUCGAUCCGCCCAAUUUCAAAGACACCAGAAGGUUCACUGUUGGAUAUUAUACGCAAUGUCUAUGAUCUUCUUUCUCACUGUGAUAUAAAAAUUCCUAAGGUGUGGAAGAUGUAAGUUACAGAAUGUCAAAGUACUGAAUGAAGGAAUUGAUUGGACUCCAGGAAACAACACAUACUGGAAGCAUGAUCUACAAUGGUUUGAGGCAUUAAAGGUCAUACUGCAUGGAAAUGCUGAAUUUGAAGAUGCUGUCUUUCAGGUUAGAUAAUAUGCAUUAUAGAUUUAGUUGUUCAGGUUUUGAGUAAUGUUGGAGGUGGUUUUCUUCUUUUACUUGUGUACUUUGGUCUGGCAUGCUCUAACAUUGAACUAGAAGGCAUCUUUUGAUUAAGUGGAAACUAUAAAACAAUUAAGUAUUUUGUAGUGUUAUAUAUAUAUCAAUUAUUUGUAAUCGAUCAUCCAUUUCAAAUAAAAUGGUACUUUUUUUUUUGAACUAGAAAUAAAAUGGUACUUGAAAAUAUUUGUUUUUUUCUUUUUUCUUUACAUUUUGGAAGGGAUAAAUCUGAAUGCAUAGAAUUCAAGUGAUAUUUUAUUUUGGCUAUGAAUAUAGAUUAAGAUUUAAAACUCUUAUAUGUAUCAAAAUAUAGUAAAUUUAUGG